rnacentral:rRNA from 1 species
AUUGAACGCUGGCGGCAUGCUUUACACAUGCAAGUCGAACGGUAACAGGUUAAGCUGACGAGUGGCGAACGGGUGAGUAAUGCAUCGGAACGUGCCCGAUCGUGGGGGAUAACGCAGCGAAAGCUGCGCUAAUACCGCAUACGAUCUGAGGAUGAAAGCGGGGGACCGUAAGGCCUCGCGCGAUCGGAGCGGCCGAUGUCAGAUUAGGUAGUUGGUGGGGUAAAGGCUAACCAAGACGACGACCUGGAGCUGGUCUGAGAGGACGACCAGCCAGCCUGGGAAUGAGGCACGGCCCAGACUCCUCAGGGAGGCAGCAGUGGGGAAGUUUGGACAAUGGGCGAAAGCCUGAUCCAGCAAUGCUGCGUGCAGGAAGAAGGCCUUCGGGUUGUAAACUGCUUUUGUACGGAGCGAAAAGCCUCUCUCUAAUACAGGGGGCUCAUGACGGUACCGUAAGAAUAAGCACCGGCUAACUACGUGCCAGCCGCCGCCGUAACAC